UAAACACCCUUGUUUGGGAAGAACAGGGGGAGGAGGACACGGUUUUUGUUUCCCGGUACCAUACCAGAAAGGGAGGGCUAAAUACGUGCCAGCAGCCGCGGAAACCCGUUUGUCCCGAGCGUUUUCCGGAUUUAUUGGGCGUAAAGCGAGCGCAGACGGUUUAUUAAGUUUGAUGUGAAAGCCCGGAGCUCAACUCCGGAAAUGCAAUUGAAACUGGUUAACUCGAGUGCAGUAGAGGUAAGUGGAAAUCCAUGUGUAGCGGUGGAAUGCGUAGAUAUAUGGAAGAACACCAGUGGCGAAGGCGGCUUACUGGACUGCAACUGACGUUGAGGCUCGAAAGUGUGGGUAGCAAACAGGAAAGAUACCCUGGUAGUCCACACCGUAAAUGAUGAACAAUAGGUGUAGGAGGUUUCCCGCACUAGCUAGUCCUCGAAGCUAACGCAGUAAGGUACCGCGUGGG
rnacentral:rRNA from 1 species